rnacentral:rRNA from 1 species
UACGAAGGGGGCUAGCGUUGCUCGGAAUCACUGGGCGUAAGGCGCACGUAGGCGGAUCGUUAAGUCAGGGGUGAAAUCCUGGAGCUCAACUCCAGAACUGCCUUUGAUACUGGCGAUCUUGAGUUCGGGAGAGGUGAGUGGAACUGCGAGUGUAGAGGUGAAAUUCGUAGAUAUUCGCAAGAACACCAGUGGCGAAGGCGGCUCACUGGCCCGAUACUGACGCUGAGGUGCGAAAGCGUGGGGAGCAAACAGG